CUACAGAACGACGCUGGCGGCAGGCCUAACACAUGCAAGUCGAGCGCCCCGCAAGGGGAGCGGCGGACGGGUGAGUAACACGUGGGAAUUUUCCUCAAGGUACGGAACAACUCAGGGAAACUUGGGCUAAUACCGUAUGAUGCAGAGAUGCCAAAGAUUUAUCGCCUUGGGAUAAGCCCGCGUCAGAUUAGGUAGUUGGUGGGGUAAUGGCCUACCAAGCCUGUGAUCUGUAGCUGGUCUGAGAGGACGAUCAGCCACAUUGGGACUGAGACACGGCCCAGACUCCUACGGGAGGCAGCAGUGGGGAAUCUUGCGCAAUGGGGGCAACCCUGACGCAGCCAUGCCGCGUGAACGAUGAAGGCCUUAGGGUUGUAAAGUUCUUUUACCCGUGACGAUGAUGACGGUAACGGGGAAUAAGCUCCGGCUAACUUCGUG
rnacentral:rRNA from 1 species